ensembl:lncRNA
CGCCACUGCAGCAGCCCUGGGGCCACAUCUCUUCUUCUCCCCGGCCCCAGUGGCUUGCAGCUCCCACGCAGCCCCAGCAAGUGAACAGUGCUGCUCUCCUGCUGGCCAUCCAUUCCAGGGCAGUGGGCAGCAGGAAGCAUGCCCGGCAACCUGGGGCUCACCGUGGCCUUUCUCCUCCCCUGCAUGCUGUGGGGCCUUCAGUUGGAUCAGGAACCAGCUUUUAUCCUCAAGCCACCGCGGCAGAGCAGCACUGCUGAAUUUACUUGCAAAGUGACUGGCGGGUCGAGCUCCACCUACGUUCACUGGUAUCGAGCCUUGGGCGAUGGGCCGCCACAGCGGCUGCUCUACCUCUCCUUCUCCAAACCGGACGCUUACCGGGAGGCUGGUGUCUCUCCUGAGAAGGUUGCAGCCUUUUUCCCCUCCACAGGCAUCUGCAAACUGGUGGUGCACAAAGUGGGAAGUGCAGAUAGUGGUCGCUAUUACUGUGGAGUGUGGGAGCUCACACGGCUCUCUGGGCUGCCGCAGCUCUUGCACAAGAAGCACAGGUGACAACAUGGAAAUUCCCCCAGCCUCCUGCAAACUGGUGUUUCAUCAAUGGGUGUAAUUGGGAGAGUAUGGCUGGAAUUGGUAUUAUAUCUUCCUAAGAAGGCUCAGGGAAUACAGGAUUUUCUGCUUGCUUGUAGGUUCACAAGCUACCAUGCAAAGAAUUUCAAGAAACAAAUUUAGGUCUAGCUUGCACAGUCCAAUCUGACCCUUCCUCAUUCAUCAUCAGAUACAAUAUGAUUAUCAAUACUUCAGGCAGGAACCAGGCUGCUUUUGCUGUCUGAACAAAACUCAGAAUCAUUCUCUUAAUCAAGGUCCCCCUAUGCUGUAAAAUUAAUAUACAUGAAGUAAUUAAUACAGCUAUCAUGACUGCUGUCAUUGUUAUAUGUGAUUAACCUGCUGCUGUGUUAGAUGCUUUAGAAGAGUGCUCUGUGAAGAAGUCCCUGUCCCUAGGGAAUUACAGUAUAAAUCAAUAAGAAAAACAGACAAAGACAGGAAAAGGAAGAAUUACUCUUGUAUUUUUAGUCAGGCACUUCAGCACAUAGAGAUUUAUGGCUGGGUAGCACUUGCCCCUCCAGCUGAACUCACUGCGAGGAUGGGCAUUCCCCAUCUCUGCAAGCUGGAUUUUGUAAGUUGCCUGAGAUCAUUCAGGAAAGCUGCAGUGGGGCAAGGGAAUUGAGGUUGGCAGCAUCCUUUCAAUGGGCUGCUUGCAAAAUUGUCUCUGCUGGCAGAGACAAAGCUGCCAGUCUGUGAAACUGUUCUGCAGGAGGAAGGAAAUGUCUGGAGAGCUUUCCCUCCACAGGGCAUGCAAUGGUGAGGCCACAGUUAUACAGGGCUCCCCUCACAUAUUUUUCUACAGGAAACUAAGCCAGCACAGUAUAAACAACACCAAUCUCUCUGUCGUCUGAUAUGCAGGAACAGGACUUGAUACAGAUUUCCUUUGAUUUUCUUUUGCUCUUUUCUACCCACACAAGUUGAACAGUGUUUUCUUUUUUUCCUCUCCCCU